GACGAACGCUGUCGGCGUGCUUAACACAUGCAAGUCGAACGAUGAAGCUAGAGCUUGCUCUGGUGGAUUAGUGGCGAACGUGUGAGUAACCCGUGCGUCACCUGCCCCGAACUCUGGGAUAACUGCUGGAAACGGUAGCUAAUACCGGAUAUGACCAAUGAAGGCAUCUUCUGUUGGUGGAAAGAAUUUCGGUUCGGGGUGGCCUCGCGGCCUAUCAGCUUGAUGGUGCGGUAACGGCUCACCAAGGCGACGACGGGUAGCCGGCCUGAGAGGGUGAUCGGCCACACUGGGACUGAGACACGGCCCAGACUCCUACGGGAGGCAGCAGUGGGGAAUACUGCACAAUGGGCGCAAGCCUGAUGCAGCAACGCCGCGUGAGGGACGACGGCCUUCGGGUUGUAAACCUCUUUUAGUAGGGAAGAAGCGAAAGUGACGGUACCUGCAGAAAAAGCACCGGCUAACUACGUGCCAGCCGCCGCCGUAA
rnacentral:rRNA from 1 species